GUCAUUCACGGGCAUGUGGAGAUCUGAGCUGGGCGGGGUGUAAAAGACGACAAGCUUCACACGGUGCGCCUAAUUUAAUGUGAACAUAGCCCUUAGGUCAUUACAGGCUACUCGGCGUGCAAGGGAAUUAUAAUUAUAUUCACGCCCUCCUCAGUGAUAUAAAUUGUCACGACAUCUAUGAAUUAGCCGAAGAACACUUGUGAACACUUUCAAGACACUUCGCGCAAUUCAAGACUAGAUCAAGACAAAAGUACAGAUCCAGACCAAAUAAUGAUGACCAGCCUAUGCAACCCAAAG